GUGAAUCAUCGAAUUUUUGAACGCAUAUUGCCCUCUUUGGCAUUGCGGAGAGUAUGCCUAUUUGAGGGUCAUUUGACAUCGUAUACAUUUUGUGAUUUUCUUGUAAUUAAAAAUGGGACGGUUCAGCUACUGUGUGUUGGUCGUCUAGAAUGCAAGACAAGCUCAUUUCUCUGGUUGCGUGAUACUUUCAGUUACCUGGUGACUUCACAAGGAAUAUUCGCAAGUGU
rnacentral:misc_RNA from 1 species